rnacentral:rRNA from 1 species
UCCGGUUGAUCCUGCCGGACCCCACUGCUAUCGGGAUAGGACUAAGACAUGCUAGUCGAGUGAUUCAGGCAAAACGAGUCACGGCACACAGCUCAGUAACACGUGGCUAAUCUGCCCUUAGGACGAGAACAACCCCGGGAAACUGGGGCUAACUCUCGAUAGGCGAAGAACUCUGGAAUGAGUCUUUACCUAAAUAGUGCAACGUUAUCCUCGUUGCAUCGCCUAAGGAUGAGGCCGCGACCGAUCAGGUUGUUGGCGAGGUAAUGGCUCACCAAGCCUUUUACCGGUGCGGGCCGUGAGAGCGGGAGCCCGGAGGUGGGCACUGAGACAAGGGCCCAGGCCCUACGGGGCGCAGCAGUCGCGAAAACUUUGCAAUAAGCGAAAGCUUGACAGGGCUAUCCCGAGUGCCAUCCGCUGAGGAAGGCUUUUACCCAGUCUAGAACGCUGGGGGAAUAAGGAGAGGGCAAGUCUGGUGUCAGCCGCCGCGGUAAUACCAGCUCUCCGAGUGGUGUGGAUGUUUAUUGGGCCUAAAGCAUCCGUAGCUGGCUAGGUCAGUCCCUUGUUAAAUCCACCGAAUUAAUCGUUGGAUUGCGGGGGAUACUGCUUGGCUAGGGGACGAGAGAGGCAGACGGUAUUUUCGGGGUAGGGGUGAAAUCCUAUAAUCCCGGGAAGACCACCAGUGGCGAAGGCUGUCUGCUAGAACGCGCCCGACGGUGAGGGAUGAAAGCUGGGGGAGCGAACCGGAUUAGAUACCCGGGUAGUCCCAGCUGUAAACGAUGCAGACUAGGUGUUUGGACGGCCACGUGCCGUUCUAGUGCCGCAGGGAAGCUGUUAAGUCUGCCGCCUGGGGAGUACGAUCGCAAGAUUGAAACUUAAAGGAAU